UGUCUUUUGGGUCUUCUAUUUCAUUUAGUCAUUCAGGGAAUUUCCGUUCCAACGAAUUUUCAUAUUUAGGAUCAGUUUACAACGGAACCUAUUCUACUUGGUGAAGAAGACGGGUAUAAAGCUACGAUAUGUGUUCACAGUUAUGUGCCAAAAAUGGAAACAUUAAAAUGGACACUAUUACUAUUUAUGACAUACAUAGCUGUGCUCGCAGAUCAUGAUGAAGGAGCUGAACUGGAAUUGCACUCACUAAAGAAGACACAAUUUUGAUAUCUGAAGACGACUACGUGAAUGUUACGUUCUGGUUGAGUCCUGCCAAGUCUGAGCGUUGUCAUGACGACUUCUAUAUUAUUGAAGUACAAACAAGGUGUAGUGAUGGCAGAGUAGAAUAUGAAGGAAGAGUACUCAGGUGGAAUGAAACGUGUAAAGUCUCAUAUCAGCAGUCAGUUCGCUGCAUCAGUGAAACUGGUCCAGCAGAACUUUACAGAAAAGUAAAGUGUUCAAAGAUGGAUAUUGAAUGGGUGUGGACUUGGAAAGACUGUGAGUCCGGAAAGUUAAAAUCCAAGGAAAAAAAUAUGAAACUUUUUAAAGAA